rnacentral:tRNA from 1 species
AUCUAGAUAGUUUAAUAAUAAAAUUCUAAUUUGUGGCAUUAGGGAUAUAAUAAGUUAUUCUAGAUU